rnacentral:misc_RNA from 1 species
UUAAGCAGAAGUCAAAUGACACGUGACGGACACUUUCAUCCACACUUUUUUCUUUAGAAUUUAUUAUGCAAAUGCCCUUCCCAGCAACUGAAGUUGCGAGGUCAUGCAUCAAAUUAUUCAUUUUGCAACUUUCUACAUUGCCAAAUAUAUCCCUCUCCGCUUCAUGAAAAAAUGACCUCCAAAAUAAAUCCAUAAAAUACUCUCGCCCUCUGUCUUCAACAGAUAGACUUGAAUUUGGAGACUCAAUGAACCCUUGCGCAGCCCAAAGAUGAAUCAAUGUUGUCACAUUGAUCAAAUGAUCUUUAGGAAAUAAUGCACAAUAUGUAAAACAAUGCUUCAAAUGUGACGAGAGAUUAUCAUAACUCAACUUGAGGGUUGGCAAUAUAUCAUUCUCAUUUUGUUCUACCUUUGAGAGUUCAUUAUCUAAGAAAGUUGCCCAUUCAUUUCUUGGAUCUUUAAAGCAUAAAAGACUUGCAAUUGUCUUUA